GCAACUAACUCCAGAAAAUUCCAUGGACAGAGGAGACUGACCCAGUCCAUAGGGUCACAGAGUCGGACAUGACUGAAGCGACUUAGCACACACGCAUGUUAUAUGCUUGUAAUUUCACAAAUGCUGGAUGGAUCAUCCCAGUCAGAGAAAGCUGCAAAGAAAAAGUGUUAGUGGGACACACAAAUGAAUAAUUGCCUUUUGCCGCUGGUGAGAGAGGGCGGCUGGGAGAGAUGAAGUUUGCUCCCCACAGAGACCCACUUCUUGGGAGACAUGAGUGGGUGGGUGGAGCAACCAUGGAUGCCACUGAAGAAGUCAUAGGGCACCCUGGCUGGGCUGCGUGGAAGCGGGCGCCCUUGCUGUGAGGGUCUUCAGUUCUUCGCUCUGAGUGUCCUAAGAAGGUCUGGUAUUUGAUGAAACUCGUGAAAAUAGGUGGAACCUAACUCGCCCCUCUUCUGAAGGAUGCAGUGAGUGCAUAUCCAACUAUGACUUUUCAGUUAAUUUCUUUGUCAUUUCCUCAUUUCUUUAAAGUUAAUUUCUAACUCCUUUUAUUGAUAAUGAAGAAAAAUACUACACCUUUUGAAAUACACCAAAUGAAUUGCGUUCAUAAUGUUAAAAGUUUUUCAUUAUUAAGGAAAAUUAGAUGU